rnacentral:lncRNA from 1 species
AUGAAAAGUAAAUGGCAGCACUCACCCAGAAAGCUGAACACCUGUGGGGCACAGCCCCACUUAUGCAUGGGGGCUAUAACAGGCUGCAUCUGGGCUUGCUUGACUGGUUACUGGAGGGGGAGGCAUAGGGUAGCUCUGAGCCUUGACCAGAAAACAGCUGAUUUGGAGGCUUUGCUUGUGCUGCUUUGGCUUGGAAAUAGGAGGGGUUUACUGGAAGUGAUCACUUCUAUUCAUAUGAAAGUCACUAAGCUGAAUCAAUGA